rnacentral:pre_miRNA from 1 species
GGGGGGAGUCCGGAUCCUGGGCUGUGUCCCGGCGCCCUGUGCUCCGGAGCCUGCGCUGGUGGAUUCGCGCUCCCGCCCCACAGCCCCCU